UGGACACCCCUCCCUGACUUUGUAUUAAAGUGGAUUCUUUUGAGUCUUUUUCUCUGUGUGACUACUGUGCGUGGAGCCAGUGGGAUUUGCCCUGUGAUCCUGAAGGAGGGUCACAAGAGGCCAGACAUCGUCAGGCAAAUCUUAUUUUUUUGUUCUUGUAGGUCCAGAUUUUGGAUGAAUCUCUCUAGAGGUUGAACAGGACAUGAGGCCACAGACUGCAGUGCCCGUGAACAGAGGAGCUGUGGAGAUGGAAGUUUGAUCGGUCCCUUCAAACGCACACUCCGGUGCAUGUGCGCCUCUUCUGAUGCAGCGCCCCAAUGGACUUCUCUCUGCUACGGAUUUCUAACUUAACAAGAAAGGCAACUUUUCAUCAAAAAGGGCAAAGAACAGAGGGGACAGUAGAGGGCACCUUCAAACCCAGCAUGGAAAUAAGGUUCCUGCUUCGAAAUGAAGCAUCACAGCAAGCUCAGGUUUUUGAUUUGGG
rnacentral:lncRNA from 1 species